rnacentral:rRNA from 1 species
UACGUAGGGUGCAAGCGUUAAUCGGAAUUACUGGGCGUAAAGCGUGCGCAGGCGGUUAUGUAAGACAGAUGUGAAAUGCCCGGGCUUAACCUGGGAACUGCAUUUGUGACUGCAUGGCUAGAGUUUGGCAGAGGGGGGUAGAAUUCCACGUGUAGCAGUGAAAUGCGUAGAUAUGUGGAGGAGCACCGAUGGCGAAGGCAGCCCCCUGGGUCAAGACUGACGCUCAUGCACGAAAGCGUGGGGAGCAAACAGG